rnacentral:rRNA from 1 species
CAGCAGCCGCGGUAAUACGAAGGGGGCUAGCGUUGUUCGGAAUUACUGGGCGUAAAGCGUACGUAGGCGGAUUGUUAAGUGAGGGGUGAAAUCCCGAGGCUCAACCUCGGAACUGCCUUUCAUACUGGCAAUCUUGAGUCCGGGAGAGGUGAGUGGAACUCCUAGUGUAGAGGUGAAAUUCGUAGAUAUUAGGAAGAACACCAGUGGCGAAGGCGGCUCACUGGCCCGGAACUGACGCUGAGGCACGAAAGCGUGGGGAGCAAACAGGAUUAGAUACCCGGGUAGUCCCUGUCUCUUAUAC